rnacentral:rRNA from 1 species
UACGUAGGUGGCAAGCGUUAUCCGGAUUUACUGGGUGUAAAGGGCGUGUAGGCGGGACUGCAAGUCAGAUGUGAAAAUUAUGGGCUCAACCCAUAACCUGCAUUUGAAACUGUAGUUCUUGAGUGAUGGAGAGGCAGGCGGAAUUCCGUGUGUAGCGGUGAAAUGCGUAGAUAUACGGAGGAACACCAGUGGCGAAAGCGGCUCUCUGGCCUGUAACUGACACUGAGGCUCGAAAGCGUGGGGAGCAAACAGG